AAUGAACGUUGGCGGCGUGGAUUAGGCAUGCAAGUCGAACGAUAUCUGUAGCAAUACAGUGAAAGUGGCGAAAGGGAGAGUAAUACGUAGGUACCUGCCCUCGGGUCUGGGAUAGCUGCGGGAAACUGCAAUUAAUACCGGAUGACGUCUCUGGACCAAAGGUGUGAUUCCGCCAGAGGAUGGGCCUGCGUCCUAUCAGCUAGUUGGUGUGGUAAUGGCGCACCAAGGCUAAGACGGGUACGGGUGUGAGAGCAUCGCCCCC
rnacentral:rRNA from 1 species